rnacentral:sRNA from 1 species
UACUGAUGUUUCAUUCUGUUCCUCUGUACAGAAAGGGCCACUUUGGUCUAGACAGCUCCACGGUUCUCUUCUGUGGUGUCACACCACUUGGAGGCUGGAAGGUGAAGACAUCAGGGAAGAGGAACUGCCUUAAACCGUCAUUGACUCUGCUUACCAGCCCAG